UACGUAGGGUGCAAGCGUUAAUCGGAAUUACUGGGCGUAAAGCGUGCGCAGGCGGUUAUGUAAGACAGUUGUGAAAUCCCCGGGCUCAACCUGGGAAUGGCAAUGGAUACUGGCAAGCUAGAGUGCGGUAGAGGGUAGUGGAAUUCCCGGUGUAGCGGUGAAAUGCGUAGAGAUCGGGAGGAACACCAGUGGCGAAGGCGGCUACCUGGACCAGCACUGACACUGAGGCACGAAAGCGUGGGGA
rnacentral:rRNA from 1 species